rnacentral:rRNA from 1 species
CUUGGUCAUUUAGAGGAAGUAAAAGUCGUAACAAGGUUUCCGUAGGUGAACCUGCGGAAGGAUCAUUAUUGAAUUAAGCUUGGUUGGGUUGUAGCUGGCCUUCCGGGGCAUGUGCACGCCUACCACCAAUCUCUUAUCACCUGUGCACCAUUUUGUAGAUCUUGGAUACCUUUCGAGGAAACUCGGUUUGAGGACUGUUGUGCGCGAGCCAGCUUUCCUUACACUUCCAGUCUAUGUUUUUAUAUACCCCUAUUUGUAUGUAUCUAGAAUGUAUUCAUAGGCUUCAAUUGCCUUUUGAAAUUUAUACAACUUUCAACAACGGAUCUCUUGGCUCUCGCAUCGAUGAAGAACGCAGCGAAAUGCGAUAAGUAAUGUGAAUUGCAGAAUUCAGUGAAUCAUCGAAUCUUUGAACGCACCUUGCGCUCCUUGGUAUUCCGAGGAGCAUGCCUGUUUGAGUGUCAUGAAAUUAUCAACCUUGUCCAACUUAUUGUUGAAACCAGGCUUGGAUUGAUGGGGGUUUUGCGGGCUUCAGUAAGUCGGCUCUCCUUAAAUAAAUUAGUAGGAAUCUUUGUUACCUAGCAUUGGUGUGAUAAUUGUCUACGCCGUUGUCUUUGAAGUAACUUGGAAUAAGAUCCCCCUGCUUCCAAUUGUCUCGUUAAGAGACUGCUUAUUAUUAUUAUGACCUCAAAUCAGGAGGC